rnacentral:rRNA from 1 species
UACGAAGGGGGCUAGCGUUGCUCGGAUUGACUGGGCGUAAAGGGCGCGUAGGCGGUUCGUACAGUCAGACGUGAAAUCCCUGGGCUCAACCUGGGGGCUGCGUUUGAUACGUGCGGACUUGAGUGCGGAAGAGGGUCGUGGAAUUCCCAGUGUAGAGGUGAAAUUCGUAGAUAUUGGGAAGAACACCGGUGGCGAAGGCGGCGACCUGGUCCGAUACUGACGCUGAGGCGCGAAAGCGUGGGGAGCAAACGGG